rnacentral:rRNA from 1 species
GAUGAACGCUGGCGGCGUGCCUAAUACAUGCAAGUCGAGCGCGAGCGAUUGGAGCUUGCUCCAAUCAAUCGAGCGGCGGACGGGUGAGUAACACGUAGGCAACCUACCCAUCAGACUGGGAUAACCACGGGAAACCGUGGCUAAUACCGGAUGAACCUUUGAGACACAAGUCUUAAAGUUGAAAGGCGCUUUUGGUGCCGUUGAUGGAUGGGCCUGCGGCGCAUUAGCUGGUUGGUGGGUAACGGCUCACCAAGGCGACGAUGCGUAGCCGACCUGAGAGGGUGAUCGGCCACACUGGGACUGGAGACACGGCCCAG